UUUCACCAAUUCCCUUCUCUACGUGUGCCGCCCACUGCUCCACGCCGCUGCCACAUCCACCAUCACCUCUGCUCCAAGUUGCCCACGGCUACCACCGCUGCUCCUUGCCACCCACCACGACCACAGAUGUCUGGUGACCAAUCAAGCGAAGAUAAUGUUACUCCAUCAAGUCGAGGAAGACAUUGACGUCGAAUUGUUCGAAUUGGUAACAACAGAGUUACAAAGAGUCAAGAAUCCCCUCACAACACAACCUUAUCCCCCUCGUCUAUCAAUUUGGUGCUGCCACCCAUCAUGUCACCUCCCCAGCAUUAUCGCGAGAUGUGGGUAUCGGGUUCAUCAUCGCCCCUCUUCCCAAUGACCCACAACACUACUCACUUGGCCAAUACCCCACCUGUACCCACAUCGGACAUCCCUAUGAUGGACACGUAGGCUGUCAGACCAUCAUCGUCCCAGCAAAUUUUGCCGACCAACGCUGAGGCCAACAAAAUUUGGAUAUCACCAUAUUCAAACUAAGCAUUCGAGCCUUAUGACGUUCACAGGAAGAUGACUUCAAUCCUUAAGUCCAAGUUCGAGCAUGUUGCUUAUACAUGGAAGAGUGUUCCUAAGUCAGCCAAGGACUUUUAUUUUCAGCAGUUCCAGAAUCAAUUUAGGUGGGACCCCGUCGAUAAUGAUGCAGUAAAAAAAUUAUGGAAUAAGAAGAAUGGAGAAAUAUUACGGAAAAUUAUGCACAGGGUUCGAAAAAAGGAUGAUGUGGUGAAUGGAUUCAAGAGGAAGCCAAAGAUGCGCUUGAAAAGCUUUGGGCGGAACCGAAUUAUGUGAGGAAAAGGGAGAAGGCAAAGAUGAACCGGGCAUCUGAGACUGGCGGGUGCACUAAUACUGGUGGCUCUAUUUCAUAUUUGGAACAUAAAAAGAGAUUGGAAAAAGAAUUGGGUCGGCCUCCAACUAAGGCCGAGCUCUUUCUUCAUUACCACAUCAAAAUGGCUACCCAAGAAUUCGUUGAACGCCAAGUAGCCACUACAUAUGAUGAGUACAACAAGCUAAAGGAAGCCCGUUCCAAUCAAGCAUCGACCUCCAGAGAGUCACCUCUUGAGCCGUAGGAUGAUUAUUCCAUAUUCAUGGAGGCGACUAAGUGGGUCAAUAAGAAAGGUCGUAUCUACGAUCUUGGAUCAAAGGCGUCACAUAUUCGCUUUUCAUCCUCUUACAGCUGACCAUCUAGAUCGCAUAUUGAUUAUUCGCAACAGGAGAUUGAGGAUCGCGUGGCUCAAAUGAGCUCCAAGUUACAUGAUCAGUUCUUAGAUCAACGCACUAUGAUUAGUAUAUUGCAGCAGGAGUUGCAGUUCUAUAAGCAGUCCUCAGAGACACAAAACGAAAAAUUGAAGCGACAAAAUCGGAGGCUGGAGAAAUCGGACUCUUUGCUCGGCUUGGGAUGCAACCACCUAAUGAUGACAUUGACGAUGAUAGCGAGGAUGAUGGGCACACUUCCGAUAAGGAGUAGAUUUUGGGGUUAUAUUCUUUUGUAAAAACUUUGUCAAACAUUUUGCUAAAAGCUUUUAUAUAAUUACUUUUUAUUGCAUUUUA